rnacentral:snRNA from 1 species
UUCGUUAACGGAAUUAAC